GUUAUUAAAGAGGAGUGGCGAACGGGUGAGUAACACGUAGAUAAUCUGCCUUCAGACGGGGACAACUCAGGGAAACUUGUGCUAAUACCCGAUGAGACCACAAGAAGGGAUUUUUUGUGGCCAAAGGCGGGCAGCAAUGCUCGUGCUGAAAGAUGAGUCUGCGUCCUAUCAGCUAGUUGGUGGGGUAAAUGCCUACCAAGGCUAAGACGGGUAGCCGGCCUGAGAGGGUGAACGGCCACACUGGGACUGAGACACGGCCCAGACUCCUACGGGAGGCAGCAGUGAGGAAUUUUCCGCAAUGGGCGCAAGCCUGACGGAGCGACGCCGCGUGAGGGAUGAACCAGCUUUCGGGUUGUAAACCUCUUUUAUUAAGGAAAAAGAUCUAUAUGCUAAUAUCAUGUAGAUUUGAUGGUACUUAUUGAAUAAGCCCCGGCCUAACUACGUGCCAGCCGCUGC
rnacentral:rRNA from 1 species